GGCUUAGAGUUUGAUCAUGGCUCAGGAUAAACGCUGGCGGCGCACAUAAGACAUGCAAGUCGAACGGACCAAAACAAUAGUUUACUAAUGUCGAGGUUAGUGGCGGACUGGUGAGUAACACGUAAGCAACCUGCCUAACAGAGGGGAACAACAGUUAGAAAUGACUGCUAAUACCGCAUAUGCCUAAGAAUCGCAUGAUUCAAUAGGGAAAGGAGAAAUCCGCUGAUAGAUGGGCUUGCGACUGAUUAGCUAGUUGGUGGGGUAGAGGCCUACCAAGGCAACGAUCAGUAGCCGAACUGAGAGGUUGAACGGCCGCAUUGGGACUGAGAUACGGCCCAGACUCCUACGGGAGGCAGCAGUCGGGAAUAUUGCGCAAUGGAGGAAACUCUGGCGCAGUGACGCCGCGUGCAGGAAGAAGGUUUUCGGAUUGUAAACUGCUUUAGACAGGGAAGAAGAAAGGACAGUACCUGUAGAAUAAGCUCCGGCUAACUACGUGCCAGCAGCCGCGGUAAUACGUAGGGAGCGAGCGUUGUCCGGAUUUAUUGGGUGUAAAGGGUGCGUAGACGGGAAUGUAAGUUAGUUGUGAAAUACCUCGGCUUAACUGAGGAACUGCAACUAAAACUAUAUUUCUUGAGUACUGGAGAGGAAAGUG
rnacentral:rRNA from 1 species